UCUAUGGGGGGUAGACGUCCCGGCAAGUCGCGCGUCUUUUUUCGUGUCCUUGAACAAAUUUCGGGCAUACGCGAGUCUCGAAUCUAACAACGGGCGUCGUCUCCUUGCAUUAAAUCGGUUUGUUCAAUCAGCACGCGUCGUGUAUAAUAUUUAUUUCCGUGUCGUUUCGCGUUUCGUCGAAUCGGCCUUCGUCGGACAAGGAUGGCAAGAGGGGUCUCUUGUCCGAUACGAAAUAUCCCGCAGUGCUCCAGCCAGCAUCCGGGCAUCGAAAAGCAUCGAAGGGAUCGCGUCGAAGGAAGGCGGCACGCGACAAGGACCGGGAUCUCGUCCACGAAAUUCACAUAAACGGUCGCGUUUGCCAUGAUUGCUCCGCCGCAAUAUUCAUGCCGGUCACGUCCGCCAUGAUGGAUUGAUGGAUACGUCACGCCGUUUCUCGCGGAAUUUCACGCGGGUAGAGACAGUGCCGCGCGCAAUGCGAGCCGGGAAGUGUCAAACUUUACGGGACAUUUUUUUACAGUGCAUCAAUUCGGACUGCUCGACGACUGCCAAGUGCGUUUUUCGUCACGCGUGAUCGACGUCGAUCCCGGGAAAAGUAUGUGCAUACGCGUAUUUCGCGAGUGUUAUUCACGAGCGCGAUUGAGUGCCGAAUAAAUGUACGGACGAUGGUUUUAACCUAUAAACUCUGACCGAGGUGAGGUGUGAACGCGAAUUUUUCCCCUCGACUGUGUGUGUGCGCGGCGCGAUUGAUGUCGAUCAUGUCCCGUCAAAUCCGCUAGUCGUCCGAAUUUUUUGACAAAUACGCAUGUUUUGUGAUUGAGUGCAACGAGUGACAUAUCGAGGAGCAUCGAGGGAUCGCCGAUAAUGGAUUAAUCGACGGAGGGAGUGCAUUGCUCGUUUGCGAUAACCGGUAGCAUUGUGAUACGAUGCGAUUCACGUGUCGUUUCGGGAGUGCCGUGUAAAGUUUCGCGCGUCGGGAGUGCCGUGUAGAAUUUCUCGUUUCGGGAGUGCCGUUUAAAGUGUCGGGCGAUCGUAAUUCUAGUUUUCGCGAGUGUCGUGAGUGUUACGAAGACCAAGAGAAGAGGAGAAGAUCCGGGAGGCAUCGGGCAACAACGGAGCAUAACUGCGAGAUCAAUGCUGUGUACUACAACUCCGCUAUUGCGCUUAUCGGUGAG